AUACUUACCUGGAGGGGAGACACCAUGAUCACAAAGGUGGUUUUCCCAGGAUGAGGCUUAUCCAUUGCCCUCUGAUUGUGCUGACCCCUGCGAUUUCCCCAAAUGUGGGAAACUUGACUGCAGAAUUUGUGGUAGUGGGGGGCUGUGUUCGUGCUUUCCCCUA